rnacentral:rRNA from 1 species
AAAACUCUGUUGUUAGGGAAGAACAAGUACCGGAGUAACUACCGGUACCUUGACGGUACCUAACCAGAAAGCCACGGCUAACUACGUGCCAGCAGCCGCGGUAAUACGUAGGUGGCAAGCGUUGUCCGGAAUUAUUGGGCGUAAAGCGCGCGCAGGCGGUUCCUUAAGUCUGAUGUGAAAGCCCACGGCUUAACCGUGGAGGGUCAUUGGAAACUGGAGGACUUGAGUACAGAAGAGGAGAGUGGAAUUCCACGUGUAGCGGUGAAAUGCGUAGAGAUGUGGAGGAACACCAGUGGCGAAGGCGACUCUCUGGUCUGUAACUGACGCUGAGGCGCGAAAGCGUGGGGAGCGAACAGGAUUAGAUACCCUGGUAGUCCACGCCGUAAACGAUGAGUGCUAGGUGUUAGGGGGUUUCCGCCCCUUAGUGCUGAAGUUAACGCAUUAAGCACUCCGCCUGGGGAGUACGGCCGCAAGGCUGAAACUCAAAAGAAUUGACGGGGGCCCGCACAAGCGGUGGAGCAUGUGGUUUAAUUCGAAGCAACGCGAAGAACCUUACCAGGUCUUGACAUCCUCUGACCACCCUAGAGAUAGGGCUUUCCCUUCGGGGACAGAGUGACAGG